UACGUAGGGUGCAAGCGUUAUCCGGAAUUAUUGGGCGUAAAGAGCUCGUAGGCGGUUUGUUGCGUCUGCUGUGAAAACCCGAGGCUCAACCUCGGGCCUGCAGUGGGUACGGGCAAACUAGAGUGCGGUAGGGGAGAUUGGAAUUCCUGGUGUAGCGGUGGAAUGCGCAGAUAUCAGGAGGAACACCGAUGGCGAAGGCAGAUCUCUGGGCCGUAACUGACGCUGAGGAGCGAAAGCGUGGGGAGCGAACAGG
rnacentral:rRNA from 1 species